AUUGAACGCUGGCGGCAGGCCUAACACAUGCAAGUCGAACGAGUGGCGGACGGGUGAGUAAUGUCUGGGAAACUGCCCGAUGGAGGGGGAUAACUACUGGAAACGGUAGCUAAUACCGCAUACCAUCGGAUGUGCCCAGCUGGGAUUAGCUAGUUGGUGGGGUAACGGCUCACCGAGGCGACGAUCCCUAUCUGGUCUGAGGGGAUGACCAGCCACACGGGAACUGAGACACGGUCCAGACUCCUACGGGAGGCAGCAGUGGGGAAGAUUGCACAAUGGGCGCAAGCCUGAUGCAGCCAUGCCGCGUGUAUGAAGAAGGCCUUCGGGUUGUAAAGUACUUUCAGCGGGGAGGCGUUACUCGCAGAAGAAGCACCGACUAACUCCGUGCCAGCAGCCGCGGUAAUAC
rnacentral:rRNA from 1 species